GCGGCGAGUGAGCGGCAAAAGCUCAAAUUUGAAAUCUGGCGCCUUCGGUGUCCGAGUUGUAAUUUGAAGAUUGUAACCUUGGGGUUGGCUCUUGUCUAUGUUUCUUGGAACAGGACGUCACAGAGGGUGAGAAUCCCGUGCGAUGAGAUGCCCAAUUCUAUGUAAGGUGCUUUCGAAGAGUCGAGUUGUUUGGGAAUGCAGCUCUAAGUGGGUGGUAAAUUCCAUCUAAAGCUAAAUAUUGGCGAGAGACCGAUAGCGAACAAGUACAGUGAUGGAAAGAUGAAAAGAACUUUGAAAAGAGAGUGAAAAAGUACGUGAAAUUGUUGAAAGGGAAGGGUUUGAGAUCAGACUCGAUAUUUUGUGAGCCUUGCCUUCGUGGCGGGGUGACCCGCAGCUUAUCGGGCCAGCAUCGGUUUGGGCGGUAGGAUAAUGGCGUAGGAACGUGACUUUACUUCGGUGAAGUGUUAUAGCCUGCGUUGAUGCUGCCUGCCUAGACCGAGGACUGCGAUUUUAUCAAGGAUGCUGGCAUAAUGAUCCCAAACCGCCCGUCUUGA
rnacentral:rRNA from 1 species